rnacentral:rRNA from 1 species
UUUUCCGUAGGUGAACCUGCGGAGGGAUCAUUACCGAGUUUACAACUCCCAAACCCCUGUGAACAUACCACUUGUUGCCUCGGCGGAUCAGCCCGCUCCCGGUAAAACGGGACGGCCCGCCAGAGGACCCCUAAACUCUGUUUCUAUAUGUAACUUCUGAGUAAAACCAUAAAUAAAUCAAAACUUUCAACAACGGAUCUCUUGGUUCUGGCAUCGAUGAAGAACGCAGCAAAAUGCGAUAAGUAAUGUGAAUUGCAGAAUUCAGUGAAUCAUCGAAUCUUUGAACGCACAUUGCGCCCGCCAGUAUUCUGGCGGGCAUGCCUGUUCGAGCGUCAUUUCAACCCUCAAGCACAGCUUGGUGUUGGGACUCGCGUUAAUUCGCGUUCCCCAAAUUGAUUGGCGGUCACGUCGAGCUUCCAUAGCGUAGUAGUAAAACCCUCGUUACUGGUAAUCGUCGCGGCCACGCCGUUAAACCCCAACUUCUGAAUGUUGACCUCGGAUCAGGUAGGAUGACCGUGACUA